GGCCUAAAGGAGGUGGGGACCCCAUACGGUGUCCCUGAGCAGCAGUUGGACAUCCCUGAGCUGAGCAUGCCUGAGCCAGCACAGCACAGCACGGAGAAGAAGCGUACAGAGAAGGUGGGAGCGAAGGGCAGCACCGUGGUGCCUGCAGGUAGGAGUGCAUGAAACAUCCUCAUCAACCCCAAACCACCUCACUGUCCCACAUCCGCAGCCAGCCCAGUGGAUGGAGUAGGGAUGGAACCCCUCAUUUCUGCAAUACAAACCCCAUGGUGCUCGGUGCAGCCCUUGUGGGGGUGCUCAAGGGGUGGCAGGGGCUACCUCUAAGUAAUUCUGUGUCCCUUUGGGUUCCCAGUCCCCAAGAGCCUCCCCGUGAAGGCAAAGGUGGAGUCCCACAGCCUGGACCCCGCGGAGGAGCCGCUCAUCUGGGAGGGGCUCACCCUCAACAAGUGCAUCCUGGUGGCCUCCAUCGUUGCUUUGCUCAGCGUCAGCUUCCAGGUGCUCCAAGCUCCGCCAUGCCCCAGGGACGGUGUCAGCAGUGGCAAGCAAGAGCCGCCAGCAGCUCCCAUCCACGAGGUCAUCGUCCCCAAGGAGGAG
rnacentral:lncRNA from 1 species